rnacentral:rRNA from 1 species
GCCAGACUCCUACGGGAGGCAGCAGUGGGGAAUAUUGGGCAAUGGGCGAAAGCCUGACCCAGCAAUGCCGCGUGAAUGAAGAAGGUCUUAGGAUUGUAAAAUUCUGUCCUAUGGGAAGAAACAAAUGACGGUACCAUAGGAGGAAGCCCCGGCUAACUACGUGCCAGCAGCCGCGGUAAUACGUAGGGGGCGAGCGUUGUCCGGAUUUACUGGGUGUAAAGGGCGUGCAGCCGGGCUGACAAGUCAGAUGUGAAAUCCCGCGGCUCAACCGCGGAACUGCAUUUGAAACUGUUAGUCUUGAGUACCGGAGAGGUCAUCGGAAUUCCUUGUGUAGCGGUGAAAUGCGUAGAUAUAAGGAAGAACACCAGUGGCGAAGGCGGAUGACUGGACGGCAACUGACGGUGAGGCGCGAAAGCGUGGGGAGCAAACAGGAUUAGAUACCCCAGUACC